CAUAACCAGUUAUACCAUUCUCGGGAAAAACAACAAUGUCGGCGUUCUGAAAAAAAAAAAAGAAAAGAAAAAGAAAAGAAAAAAGAUGAAACAAAAAAUACAAAAGAAAUAGUCGUACGUUACAUUAGUAACUUUGUUUAUAAAUUUCGUCUUAGAAUUUCAACGUAUCGAUUUCUGAGACUUUAUUAUAUAUCGCUAAUUCGUGGAACGUUCGUUGAAUGAAAUAGGAGUGAAAGUGGAAAUGAGACGAUACGAUGUGAUUGUACGCAGAAAAAAAAAAAAAGAAA